rnacentral:rRNA from 2 species
GGACUACUGGGGUAUCUAAUCCUGUUUGAUCCCCACGCUUUCGUGCCUCAGCGUCAGUUACACUUUAGUGAGCUGCCUUCGCAAUCGGUGUUCUGUGACAUAUCUAAGCAUUUCACCGCUACUUGUCACAUUCCGCCCACUUCAUCUGUACUCAAGUCUAUCAGUAUCAAUGGCAGUUCCGAAGUUGAGCUCCGGGCUUUCACCACUGACUUAAUAAACCGCCUACGCACCCUUUAAACCCAAUAAAUCCGGAUAACGCUUGGAUCCUCCGUAUUACCGCGGCGGCUGGCAC